rnacentral:tRNA from 1 species
ACGUCUUUAGUUUAAUUGGUUAGAGUAUCAGACUCUAAAUCUGAGAGAUGUGGGUUCGACUCCUACAGGGCGUG